rnacentral:rRNA from 1 species
UGGGGAAUAUUGCACAAUGGGCGCAAGCCUGAUGCAGCCAUGCCGCGUGUGUGAAGAAGGCCUUCGGGUUGUAAAGCACUUUCAGCGGGGAGGAAGGCGUUAAGGUUAAUAACCUUGGCGAUUGACGUUACCCGCAGAAGAAGCACCGGCUAACUCCGUGCCAGCAGCCGCGGUAAUACGGAGGGUGCAAGCGUUAAUCGGAAUUACUGGGCGUAAAGCGAACGCAGGCGGUUUGUUAAGUCAGAUGUGAAAUCCCCGGGCUCAACCUGGGAACUGCAUCUGAUACUGGAAAGCUUGAGUCUCGUAGAGGGGGGUAGAAUUCCAGGUGUAGCGGUGAAAUGCGUAGAGAUCUGGAGGAAUACCGGUGGCGAAGGCGGCCCCCUGGACGAAGACUGACGCUCAGGUGCGAAAGCGUGGGGAGCAAACAGG